UCCAGUGGCAGAAGAUUCUGGCCCAGCAGAGGAAUUAUUUGGACAGUUCAACAGUCAGAUGAAGUCCAAAUCUUUUGGAGAUGCCGUCCCAGCUCAGCAGGCCGAUCAUUAAUGUUUCUGGACGAGGACCAAACCAGCGUAAGUUGAGCCUCUGACCAAUGAGGUAAGACGAAGGUGACACUCGCGCUCAGCCAUGUUUUUUGCAGCGGGACGAGUUGUAUCCAGCAGAGAGCAGUGUUUGUCUUCCCAAGGAACCAGGACAUCACCUCACUGAUGUACUGAACAAAAGAAAACCCACAUGGAACAUUCGAUCUCUUUGUGUUGGAGAGGAUGCUGCAGGUUCCACAUUCUGGACUGAGGUCACCUCCACUGGUAGGACUACAGGGAAGGACGGAGAGACCGCAAGGAGUCAGGGGGAUGGAGAGACCACAGGGGGAGGAAUACAGGAUGGAGAGAGGAGAAGUGGGAGGAAGAGGUGGCACGAAUAAUGGGAACGGAGGAAGAGGGUGAGCGAAGCGAAAGAGGAAGGGAAAAAGCGAUGGGAAGCCCUGACUCCUCAAACUAUUCGGCCCGCAUCUCUCCUCCUUUUUUUCCCUCUCUUUUUCUUCCACGUCUGUUCUCUCUCAGCUGGAGGUCUACUCUCGGAGCCCAACUGUAGGUCGGAGCUCUUCAUCGCCUCGCUCUCACUUUGGGUGGUUGGACCCUUUUUCCAGGACAUCCUUGUCACCUUGGUUACCGUUGCCAAGAGACCCGACUGUUCACUGGCUAGCAUGGCAUCACGUUAUGUGUUGGACCACCAUGGGGCGGGCGGGGUGAAUGUAGGGUGUUGGUUAGGCAUCGCACAGGGGGGGGGGCGGGGCAACACAUCAGUGACCGUCUGAGUAGCUGCAGCUCUGACCUGACGCUGAUGGAGGAAGAGCUCGCCGCCACUGAUGCAGUGACACGGUGCUUCAGGGAGCCCAUGGCGCUCCUCGAGCACUGUAGGGAGGAGUACAGGAGCUAGAGGGGGAGGAGGGAGGGAGGCUGAGUGGAUGUGACA